AUGAUUCCCGGGACGGCCUGGCGGAGGAGGCGAGGCUGAUGCGUGCACCCGUUGUGGUCUUCCGCUUCGGUUCUUGCGCGCCGGAGGCGGACCCCGAUGAGGCCUACCGCGUCGCUCUUCGCCGAGUGUCGAGGUGGAUCGGCACGUUUACUUUGAACAAAUUAAAGUGCUUAAAUCAGGCCUGUUGCGCCUGAAUACUGUGUGCAUGGAAUAAUGGAAUAGGACCUCGGUUCUAUUUUGUUGGUUUUCGGAACCCGAGGUAAUGAUUAAUAGGGACAGGCGGGGGCAUUCGUAUUGCGACGUUAGAGGUGAAAUUCUUGGAUCGUCGCAAGACGGACCGAAGCGAAAGCAUUUGCCAAGUAUGUUUUCAUUAAUCAAGAACGAAAGUUAGAGGUUCGAAGGCGAUCAGAUACCGCCCUAGUUCUAACCAUAAACGAUGCCAGCUAGCGAUCCGCCGAAGUUCCUCCGAUGACUCGGCGGGCAGCUCCCGGGAAACCAAAGCUUUUGGGUUCCGGGGGAAGUAUGGUUGCAAAGCUGAAACUUAAAGGAAUUGACGGAAGG
rnacentral:rRNA from 1 species